rnacentral:lncRNA from 1 species
UUUUUUUUUUUUUUUUUUUUUGGUUGGGAGACUUUAAUGACUGCUUCUAUUUUCUUAGAGGUUAUGUGACUUUUUAGAUAAUUUAUCUGUUCUGAACUAACUUUGGUACCUGGUAUCUGUCUAUAAAAUCAUCCAAUUCAUCUGGAUUUCCCAAUUUUGUUGAGUAUAGGCUUUUAUAGUAGAAUCUGAUGUUUUGUUUUGUUUUAAUUUCCUCAGUUUCUGCUGCUAUGUCUCACUUUUCAUUUCUGAUUUUGUUAAUUGGGAUACUUUCUCUGUUCCAUUUACUUAAAUUAGCUAAGGGUAUAACUGUCUUGUUGAUUUUCUCAAAAAGCCAUCAACUAGUUUUGUUGAUUCUUUGUAUUGUUCUCUUUGUUUCUAAUUGAUUGAUUACAGUCCAGAGUUCAAUUGUUUCUGGCUAUCUACUCCUCUUGGGUAUGUUUGCUUCUUUUUGUUCUAGAACUUUUAGAUAUGUUGUUAAGCCGUUAGAAUAGGAUCUAGCAAAUUUCUUUAUGAAGUCACUUAGUGCUAUGAAAUUUUCUCUUAGCACUGCUUUCAUUGUGUCCCAAAAAUUUGGGUAUGCUGUGCUUUCAUUUUCAUUAAAUUUUGGAAAGUCUUUCAUUUUUUUCUUUAUUUCUUCCCUGUCUAAGUUAUCAUGGAGUGCAGAGCUGUUUAGUGUUCAUGAGUGUGUGGGCUUUCUAUUGUUUUGGUUGUAUUGAAGACCAGCCUUAGUCAGUGGCAAUCUGAUAGAAUGCAUGGAUUUCAAUCUUCUUGUAUCUGUUGAGGCUUGGUUUUGUGUGCAAUUAUAUGAUCAGUUUUGGAGAAGAUACCAUGAGGUGCUGAGAAGGUAUUCUUUUGUUUUAGGGUAAAAUGUUCUGUAGAUAUCUGGUUUAAUCCAUUAUGUUCAUAACUUGUUAGUUUCCUUGUGCUUCUGCUAGUUUCUGUUUCCAUGACCUGUCCAUUGGUGAGAGUGGAAUAUUGAAGUCUCCUACUAAUAUUGUGUGAGGUUUAAUGUGUGUUUUGAGCUUUAGUAAAGUUUCUUUUACAAAUGUGGGUACCCUUGCAUUGGGGCAUAGAAUUGAGAGUUCAUCUUGAUGGAUAUUUCCUUUGAUGAGUAUGAUGUGUACUUCCCAUCUCUUUUAAUAACUUUUGGUUGACUGUCUAUUUUAGUGGAUAUUAGAAUGGCUACUCCACCUUGUUUCUUGGGACCAUUUGCUUGAAAGAUUUUUUUCCACCCUUUUACUUUUAAGUAGUAUCUGACUGUGUGACUGUGGUGUGUUUCCUGACUGCAGCAAAAUGCUGGAUUCUGUUUACAUAUCCAAUCUAUUAGUCUAUGUCUUUUUAUUGGGAAAUUGAGUCCACUGAUAUUGAGAGAUAUUAAGGACCAAUGAUUAUUGGUUCCUUUUAUUUUGGUUGUUAGAGGUGGAAUCAUGUUUGUGUGGUUCUCUUCUUUUGGGUUUGUUGUCAGAUGAUUAAUUUCUUGCUUUUCUUAGGGUGUAGAUUCCCUCCUUGUGUUGGGCGUUUCCUUCUAUUAUCCUCUGUGGGGAUGGAUUAGUGAAAAGAUAUUGUUUAAAUUUGGGUUUUUUUUUUUUCAUGAACUAUUUUGGUUUUUCUGUCAGGAGCCAUAAUGAGACAAUCUAAUAACUAGCAGGUGAACAUCCUGAAGUGGCCUGCCUCGAAUUAUUAUAUAAUCUGCGACAGGUGAACCCUCAUUAAGCAAGGCUGUGAGGGACUCAUUUUAGGAAAGAUUCCUGCUAUUAAUAUGCUUUUCCUGUUAACAUUAAACAUAUAUAACAAUCGCUAAGUAGGAACAAACCCGCUUUGAAGCAGAACUCUGCAGAUCCAUGAAGAUGUACUAUCUUGUAGUGAUGCUAUAUAGACAAAUAGAUGAUUUAAGUCUUAAUGAUGAUCCUAUAAGAAUUCCUAAAAUUAUAUCUGUGAUUAUUAAGCUCUUUUAUAAUGGGACUGCUAUUAGGUCCUUUUCUGAUAGUCAAAGCUGCAGUGAGAACUCUGACAGUCUCCCAAGUGUCACCAGUUAAUUGCUCUUAGAUGGUAACCAGACUUUCUCCUACCCAGAGCACAUUCCAGGAUGGUGUAAAACAAUUAACCUAAGGUCAUGAAAAGGCAACUAACGGCUUAUUAUAGGUGCUAGGACAGAAGAUAUAAUAUUGACUGGGUUUAUCUAUACAAAACUUCACUGAUAAGUUAGUUAUGGUUUAAACCUUCAGUGAACUUGUGGAGCUCAGACAGAUGAUGGGUGUUUAACCAGAUAAUUACUCCUAAUGGAUAUGCAUGUAAACUUCGCUGUUGUAAACUUCUAUUUCAAUUUAUGAUUUCAUUUUUGUGUGUGAGCUGGUGAUGAACUUUGUAACAUGUGAUCGUGUAUUCUGAAAGAUGUAUAAGUACUGAGAACAAAGAGAAGCAAGAGAAUCAUGAAUUAAGAACUAAGAUCAAUGGAGAGUGAAGAUCAAUAGAGGAGACUUUUUUGCCUUUCCCCACUUAGAGAAUUUUCCCUUUAUUCACUUAGGAUCUUUCUGCUUUUCCCCUUUACAACCUGGUAAUAAAUUCUAUAAUCACUUCUCUAAGUGUCUUCUCUUCCUGUGACUUCGGACUAGCAGGCCUAAAGUUGGAGCUCAGCAGUUCCUGCUGAGAUAGACAAGGCUAUUUUCUUAAUCCUUUGUGGCUUGAAGAAGAGGUGCUGGGUGCCAGACACUGCAGUUUCUGGCCUCAGGGGAUCACAGAAGGCAGGUCAGCUACAACAGCACAGUAAGUUAGGCUUGGAUAAGUAAACUUUUUAUUAUACAGCAACCCUAAAUAUCUCAAAAAAAGUCCUACCCUCCACCUAAGCGCUUCCCCUGAAGCUGCCUCAAGAAGAACC